rnacentral:rRNA from 1 species
ACGAACGCUGGCGGCAGGCCUAACACAUGCAAGUCGAGCGCUACCUUCGGGUGGAGCGGCGGACGGGUUAGUAACGCGUGGGAAUAUACCCAGUUCUAAGGAAUAGCCACUGGAAACGGUGAGUAAUACCUUAUACGCCCUUCGGGGGAAAGAUUUAUCGGAAUUGGAUUAGCCCGCGUUAGAUUAGAUAGUUGGUGGGGUAAUGGCCUACCAAGUCGACGAUCGGUAGCUGGUCUGAGAGGAUGAUCAGCCACACUGGGACUGAGACACGGCCCAGACUCCUACGGGAGGCAGCAGUGGGGAAUAUUGG